GACGAACGCUGGCGGCGUGCUUAACACAUGCAAGUCGAGCGGUGAAGCCCUUCGGGGUGGAUCAGCGGCGAACGGGUGAGUAACACGUGAGCAACCUGCCCCCGACUCUGGGAUAGCCUCGGGAAACCGGGAUUAAUACCGGAUAUGACACCUCCUCGCAUGGGGUGGUGUGGAAAGUUCUUCGGUCGGGGAUGGGCUCGCGGCCUAUCAGCUUGUUGGUGGGGUGAUGGCCCACCAAGGCGACGACGGGUAGCCGGCCUGAGAGGGUGACCGGCCACACUGGGACUGAGACACGGCCCAGACUCCUACGGGAGGCAGCAGUGGGGAAUAUUGCGCAAUGGGCGGAAGCCUGACGCAGCGACGCCGCGUGAGGGAUGAAGGCCUUCGGGUUGUAAACCUCUUUCAGCAGGGAAGAAGCGUGAGUGACGGUACCUGCAGAAGAAGCACCGGCUAACUACGUGCCAGCCGCCGCGGUAAAAC
rnacentral:rRNA from 1 species